rnacentral:SRP_RNA from 1 species
CCAUGCUAGACGGGGAGGUAGCGGUGCCUUGUAACCUGCAACCCGCUAUAGCAGGGUUGAAUUCCAAGCGGAAGGCCGGUCUUCGUGAGUCCGGCCGGAUGAAGUGGUGUUGAGGAUUGGGUCCUGCGCAACGGAGACCUAUGAACCCCGUCAGGUCCGGAAGGAAGCAGCGGUAAGUAGGACCCUUCGUGUGCCGCGGGGUUGCCUGGUCGGAGCCGGCUGAUUCGGCGCGUUCGGGGGGAUACAGUCAAGGCUUGGUGCAUGG